rnacentral:piRNA from 1 species
CAUCCUGCUUGGACUAGGC